GGAUGUGUAGCUCAAUCGGUAGAGCUUCGCUGGCAAGAAGGUGGCUAGCAAAAUUCCUUGGUUGAUGGUUCGAGCCCAUCCACAUCCA
rnacentral:tRNA from 1 species